rnacentral:misc_RNA from 1 species
CAAAAAGGUUUUUUAAACCCAAUUUUGAUCCCACCUUUCUCGCGAUUUCUAGGGUUUCACAUUCCUCUCACUGCCUCUCCCAAAUCGUAAAUCCAAGCCAUUCUGGUCAUACCCAUAAAUUUUCUAGUGUUUAUUUUCAUCAGAGCGACGAUAAGAUGCCUCAGAGACACUCGAAGAACAAUAACGAUUUAGCUUUCUUCACCUACGAUGAGAAGCAAAAGCUCGGAUACGGGACCCAGAGGGAAAGGUUGGGUAAGGACUCGAUUAAGCCCUUCGAUGCCUGCUGUCUCUGCUUGAAACCGCUUAUCGAUCCCAUGUCUUGCCAGAAAGGCCACGUCUUCUGCAAAGAAUGCAUUCUCGAGUGUCUUUUAGCCCAAAAGAAGGACAUCCAAAGGAAG